rnacentral:lncRNA from 1 species
CUAACCCCUAACACUAAUUGUAACUGUAACCCUAAAACAGCCUUUUUCCUCGUGGGGACAAGUGAAAUGUCCCCACUUGUCCAAAUAUUCCUUGUGAGGACAUCUGGUCCCUUCAAGGACAGUAAAACCAAACACACAACUUGAAGUAAUAUUCAGAAUCACCGGGUGCAGGGCAAUAUGUUCCUCCACCUCUCUCUUCAGCUCCGCCCUCCGACUGUCAGUCAAACCCCGAGGACCAAUCCAAGGAGAGAGGGAAGGAGGGGCUUUCUCAGCUCUCCGCCUCUUCAGAAAGCGAAGGACCUAACAGGGGAGGGACAAAAACUGUCAAGAUGAAUUCAGAUGCUGCUGCAUGCUACAUUUGUUCAAUCGCUGUGUUCAGCUUCUGCUUACAACAGCGGUAGUCUAUUGGAAGUGCAUGUGUGUUAAUACUGCUCUCUGCAGGACAACAGCAGCUCUGUGCUGUGUGUGUGUGUUAAUACUGCUCUCUGCAGGACAACAGCAGCUCUGUGCUGUGUGUGUGUGUGUGUUAAUACUGCUCUCUGCAGGACAACAGCAGCUCUGUGCUGUGUGUGUGUGUUAAUACUGCUCUCUGCAGGACAACAGCAGCUCUGUGCUGUGUGUGUGUGUGUGUUAAUACUGCUCUCUGCAGGACAACAGCAGCUCUGUGCUGUGUGUGUGUGUUAAUACUGCUCUCUGCAGGACAACAGCAGCUCUGUGCUGUGUGUGUGUGUGUGUGUUAAUACUGCUCUCUGCAGGACAACAGCAGCUCUGUGCUGUGUGUGUGUGUGUGUGUGUGUGUUAAUACUGCUCUCUGCAGGACAACAGCAGCUCUGUGCUGUGUGUGUGUGUGUGUGUUAAUACUGCUCUCUGCAGGACAACAGCAGCUCUGUGCUGUGUGUGUGUGUGUGUAUACUGCUCUCUGCAGGACAACAGCAGCUCUGUGCUGUGUGUGUGUGUGAAUACUGCUCUCUGCAGGACAACAGCAGCUCUGUGCUGUGUGUGUGUGUGUGUGUGUGUGAAUACUGCUCUCUGCAGGACAACAGCAGCUCUGUGCUGUGUGUGUGUGUUUCUCCGUUGCUGGAAGUGUCGUCUCUCUCGGUGGCCUCGCCAAACCCUCUGGAUCCGUAUGACAGCCUGCCUCUCCACCUCCCCGAGGUACUGCUGCACCUGACCUACACACACACACACACACACACACACACACACACACACACACACACACACACACACACACACACACACACACACAGGGCUGUAGAUGGCAGGCCUAACUAAGC